rnacentral:tRNA from 1 species
GCCAAAAUAGCUCAAUUGGAAGAGCAACUGACUUGUAAUCAGUAGGUUGCGGGUUCGAUUCCUGCUUUUGGCACCA